rnacentral:rRNA from 1 species
GUCUACGGCCAUACCACCCUGAAUGCGCCCGAUCUCAUCUGAUCUCAGAAGCUAAGCAGUGUCGGGCCUGGUUGGAUGGGAGAGCACCUGGGUAUACCGGGUGUGUAGGCU